rnacentral:lncRNA from 1 species
GGCUGAAACAAGGAACGAACUAGCACCACGUUAGUUAUAAAAGCGAGCUGAAUAAGCGUUCGACGAUGGUACUGUGCUGGUCCUAGGCUAGACCGUGCUAGAGACGCGAGCCUGGACACAAAGGAAAACCACAGCACACCCCCAAAAACAAGGUGGGACAAACCUAAAAUCAAUAUGAAAAACAGCCCCUUUUCUUUGAAUCUUUUCUCUUUUCUUUUUUUUUCUUUUUUUUUGGGCAACCUCAAAAACUGAUUAUAUGAACAAAAGAAUACAAAAGAGCAAUUCGCUCCACACACUUUUUUCACUCCACACUCUCUCUCUCUCUCUCUCUCUAGAGUAAGGCCGAACAAGUAGAGUUAUCUUUCUUUUUGAACUCAGAUUGGAACUCUACUCGAUCCGGACCAAGACCACAGU